rnacentral:lncRNA from 1 species
AAUGUAGCUAAAAGUCUACAGUAGUGUACAGUAAUAACCUUAGUUCUUCACAUUCACUCACCACUAACUCAUUGAUUCACCCAGAGAAACCUCCAGUCCUGCAGGCUCCAUUCAUGGCAAGUGCACUAUACAGAUGUACCACUUUUUAUCUUUUACACUGUAUUUUUACCAUGCCUUUUCUAUGUUUAGAUACAUAAAUACUAUUAGUGGGCUAUACCAACUAGGUUAAUGUAUAUACAUUUUUUUAAUUUGAGACGGAGUCUCCCUCUGUCACCAGGCUGGAUUGCAGUGGUGCAAUCUCGGCUCACUGCAACCUCUGCCUCCCAGUUUCAAGUGAUUCCGCUGGCUCAGCCUCCGGAAUACCUGAGAGUACAGGCGCGUGCUGCCACACCUGGCUAAUUUUUUGUAUUUUUUUAAUUAGAGAUGGGGUUUCACCAUGUUGGCCAGGAUGGUCUUGGUAUAUACACUUUGAUGCUCACAUAAUGAUGAAAUCACCUAGUGAUGUGUUUUUCAGACCAUCUCCCUAUAGUUAAGCAAAGCAUGACUGUAUUUUGGGCCUUCUGAAAUCCUCUCCCAUUUAUCUCAAACUCGUUUUUAUAUUUUUGUCACUUUAUACUGUAUUCUGGAUGGUUUUUGCAUAUAAGCCUGAUAGUUAACUUAUUUUUCUUUAACUGCAUGUUAGUAUGUUUAACAUGGCAAUUGAAGUUAACGUCUUAAUAAUUGACUUUUCACUUCUAGAAGUUUUACUUGGUUCUUUUUCAAAGCUUAUCUUAUAAUAUCUAUAACACGUUAUAAUGUUUAAUGUUUUAAAUAUAUUUAUAUGGUAUUUUUCCAGAUUUGUUAUAGUCCCCCCUCGUUAAAUACCAUGUUGCUUGUAUUUGCUGAUUCUCUGUCAUGUCCCUCCCUCAUGAUGUUCUUUAGUUAUUUUGUGUGCUUUUUAUUUUCUAUUUUGAGUAAUUUUGGUAAUUUGGAUUUCUUUAGAUAUCCAAGAAGCCCUGGUUUAGAAACCAUCCCUGCAGUACAUUUGCCCUCAUGGGGGCCUUAGGAGUUGCACAGGUUCUGGACCAGUUACCAUUUUAUUGCCUCAUCCUGAUUUUCCUAAAUCUCUAGAUGGCAGAUCCCCACAUUAUCACAUAAUCCCCACACUGUCAUAGGUUUGGAGUCCUGUUUUCUCAUGGGUGACUUUUUCUUAUCACCCAAGAAUGUAGGGUAGGGAUUAUUUUUUAAAUUAUCUUUUUUCUUUUUCAUGCUUCAUGGUCAAUAUGGCCUUGUAGGUUAUAGAAUUAUGCAAUAGAUUCCCAUAUAGGUCUUAAACUUGUUACACAGUGAAAGUUAGAACCUAAGCUCUCGGGUCCUGGCACCUAGGGUCUGAUGCACACAUGUUCUACAAGAACUUUAGGUUCUUUUUAGUAUUCUAACCUUGAUAUGGUCAGGCUUUGUGUCCCCACCCAAAUCGUAUCUUGAAUUAUAAUCCACAUAAUCCCCACAUGUUGAGGGCAGGAACUGGUGGGAAGUGAUUGGAUCAUGAGGGCAGUUCCCCCAUGCUGAUCUCAUGAUGGAGAGUGAGUUCUCACAAAAGCUGAUGGUUUUUAUAAGGGGUUGUUUGCUCUUGCCUACACUUCUCUCUCUCGCCACCAUGUGAAGAAAGUCCUUGCUUCUCCUUCAUUUUCUCCCAUGAUUAUAAGUUUCCUGAGGCUUCCCAAGCCAUGCAGAACUGCGACUCAAUUAAACCUCUUUUCUUUAUAAAUUACCCAGUCUCAGACAGUUCUUUAUAGCAGUAUGAAAAUGGGCUAAUACAAACUUGGAAGUCCCACUUCAUUUAUGGCAUCCAGGGAUUACUUAUGUUUUAUCGAGCAUUUCUGCAUUUACAUGGGAGGCUAAACUUUCACACCAGCUUAGCCUUCCAUUUUGACAGGAACUGGUCAGCAUACAGAUGAAUAAUUAUAAAUAUGCUUGGCUAAAAUACAAUAAGUUAUGUUCCUAAAAUAUUUCUAUUUUUGAAAUUGCAAAUAUUUCAGAGCUUAUUUUGAUGUAUCAUUAUUGUUUUAAUCUCUGAGAGAUCAACAAUAACUGAAAACUGAAAGCCUCAUGGUUCCAUGUUAUCACCAAGUAUAUAGGAGUAUGAAUCACCAAACAAUGAUGAGGCUUUGUGUACAAAUGAUGAAGUCCUUUGUACACAGUGUCUAACAAUGUUUGUUUUCUGGGUUUUGACUCAUGUCAUUCUUUACAGGUACCACUGCUUGCUGCCAUUCCUGGUUGCUUGAUGGCAGUAGGGUGUCUUGGCUAAGUGCUCCGCUUCUCUAAUUGCUGUGGGCCAGAGAAGUCAGUCUUUCAACAAAGGCCUAUAAAGUGGAAUUAGCCAUACACUUUCUUGUUAUUUUAUUAAACCAUUAUAAUUAUCCCAGGAAAACUGGAAAACCUAUGAAUACACAGAAAACUAGCAAAUUUGUAAGUUGGUUUUAACAUCAAUGGGUUCUCUGGCUACCUCCUCUCUAUUUCUACAAUAAAGUGUCUUUCUCAUUUACUAUUUUAACUGUUUACUAUCUGUCUUAUCAUUGGAAUACAUGCUUCAGAAAUUGGCAUACUGUCAUUGUGUUCACUCUUCGCACCCCAGUGACUCCUCAGUGAAUGGUACUCUGUAGACACUCAAUAAAUAUUUGUCGAAUCAAUGAAUAGAGGUGGAAAACUGAAUAACAGAGCUAGAAAUAGUGACUAGUAUAGUCUUGAUCCAUAGAUUAUAUACUAUACCUUUUAAAUUUUAUUUUUUAAUUGGCAAGUAAUAAUUGUACAUAUCCAUGGGAUGCAUAGUGGUGUUUUGAGACAUACAACGUGUAGUAAUCAGAUACAUUAUACUUUUAAAGAACUCUCAGAAAUAGGAAUUUUCAGUAGUCAGUACUAACUUGUUCAGGAUAUCCUCAAGUGUAACAAAACUUUUUUUUCUUGGCUCUAAUUUAUGUCUUCCCUUUAUUCAACCUUCUCUGUAGUAUAGGAGUUGGUAACCUGCACGAUCCCUGCUUUUGAGUUUAAUCUAAGAAUAUCUACAAAGUCAAUGACGCACUGAAUCCCAGCAGUUAUAUACUCUGAAGAUGACAACUUUCUCCAAAGUUUGAAGACAGAUGAUGAAAUAUUGAAAUGUUUCAGAAAUAGACUUCUCAGAGUUGCUUUUUAGUUUUCAUGGGAGAAGAGAGAAAUAUAUAGUGAUAAAUUAAUUAAUUAAAUCAUAGCUAGUAAACUCAUACUUAAAGUGAGACAUCCCAUAGCUCAGUCAAUAUGAAUAUUAGAAUUUUUAGAAGAAAAUAUUACAGUAUCAUUCUUUUAAAAAAACAGAACAUAUUGUAUUUAAGACAUACAAGAUAAGCUCUUGUUCAUUUAAGACCAAAGCUUAUAGCUAAAGUGAACUUCUGCUCUAAAAUUUAAUCUUUUCUCCUCAAACUAAAUGUAUCAGACAUCACUUAGUAAAUUGUAAUAACUACAGCCAAAUAUGUACAAAUAUGACUAACCCGAGAGUUGGCGCCAAACUAGUUUUGACCUUUCAUUGUAAAAUGAUCCUUUAUGGUCUUCCAAAAGACGUGGACGUGUUUUAGUGGCCACAAACAACAAUUCAAAUGUCAUGUUGUAAAAUAAAGUGAAAACAAAGCUUCUUACAUAGGAAACGAAUUUUAAUUAAGGUCAAGAAUCUUAUCUGCAUUAGAGUUUAUAUUUGUUCUAGCCUAUACUGAACCUGUUUGAUGGUUCAUUCUUAGCUUUGAAUGACUUAAAGGCUCUCACAACAUUAAGGGCAUGAAAGUUAACCUACUUUAAUUAAAUCUGAUAGUUGAUUGAAAGUAAAUAAUACUUUGAAAUAAUUUCUAACUAUGGAGAUUGAAGAAGCCGCUCCAGAAUCAUUUCAAUUGCUACCAAAUUAACCCCUCCCAGAGAGGAAUGGAUAAUGACAUCAACCCUUUGAACCUAUUGAAAACUAAUCUAAUUAGAGACAUUUUGCUGAAAGGCAAGAGUAGAUAAAAGAAGAAGGAGAGAGAGCAAAAAUUGCAGCAACUUUUUUGGGGGGUCUGGCUCUUGUAAAAUGUAUUAGUCACAAAAAGUAUAGAAACACCUUUAGGAAACUUUCUUUUCUUGUACCCACUAACGACUCAAGGAACUCAAUUAAAUCAAGAUAUUUCUAGUCUUCCAAAGAUAGAUAAGAGGAAGAGAAGAAAGGAGAUAUGAAUAAAGGAAAAAGGGAAAGGAAAGGAAAAGCUUUUAGUUAUUGAGCAAUUCCUUUGUAUCAGAAUUCCAUUAAGGGCUUUUCAUAGAUUAGCUAAUACAAAUCUUACAUAAGAAAAUUAUUAGUAUCCCCAUUUCAUAGAUGAAGAAACAAAGGCACAGAAAGGUAAAAUGGUGAGUAAUUUUCCCAGAAUCAGACAGUUAUCUAAAAGCAACACUGUGAUUUUAAACUCGGGUCUAGUCUACUAAUGCCUUCAUUCUUUUUAAGUAUUACUCCAAAUGGCUUCCAAUAAUAAUGAAAAAUAACAGCAAAACUUCCAGGAAAUGCUCUAAGCAGUGUUCCUACCCACAUCCUCUAAACAUAAUUUUCUGGAUGUGAUAAAAUUUAGUAAUUUCACCCAGUUUAUUACUUGCCUUGGGGAGAUUCAAAUGAAGGCAGAACUGUAAAAAUUACAAUGAUGAUAUGACACAAAAUACACAUUUAAUAACUAUUUACUCUUCAUAAUUAUGAUAAAAACUACAAAUGUGUAACUUAAAUGGAAUAGUUUACUAAUUUGUUUUAGACUUAACACUAAACACUUACUAAGGAGAUAAUCUUGUUUCUACUAGAAUACGUUUGGUCAGAAGCAGAAGUUGACCACAUGAUGGAAAAUACAAUUAUUAGCUCUUCUCCCUCAUAGGAAGAAGCUACGUCGCUUUCUGCAAGUCUCUUAACUCUUAAGGAACCUACACUCCCAUCUCCUACAUGAGCGGCAAUUGCUAGAAGAUGUCUCAGGUCACUUCAAGCCCUAAGUUGCUACAUUAACCCUGCACUGCUGUGGUCUCUAGACAACAAGAUAUUUGAAAAAGGACGGAAAUUGAAAUACUAUCUUUCCAUGGGAGCUGACAUUUAUUACUACGUUGACAUUUAUUACUAUUACUCAUUUAAUUUUACAGAAGUCCUAUAACUAGACAGUUAUUAAGAAAAGCAGAGGUCAAAUGACUUGUCCAAGACCACGCAGCCCAUAAAGAGCCUGCCUGUGUCCAAUAUACGUGCUUUCUCUAUAAUAUUUUCUUCCAAAGAAUACCUAAGCCUACAUGUAAUGCAGAAUAAAAUAUACCAUCUCACUCUAUGAUGGUUUUAUGAAUAGUUAAUUGUAGUUAUAGUUGCAAUCAUAAUAACAAUAUCUAACAAUCACUAUGAGCCAGGUACCAUUCUAAAAGCUUGAGUGAAUUAACUCACUCAAUUGUCACAACAAAGCUAUUAGGUAGAUACUAUACUAUCCCCAUUUUAUAUAUGGAAACUGAGGUACAGAAAUGUUAAAUAACUAAUCGAAGGUCACCAGAUAGUGCAUGUCAGUCCUGGCUGGAAUUUGGACACAGGCAC